UACAGAGGUCCCAAGCGUUGUUCGGAUUCACUGGGCGUAAAGGGUGCGUAGGCGGUCGGGUAAGUCUGAUGUGAAAUCUCACAGCUUAACUGUGAAACUGCAUUGGAUACUAUCCGGCUCGAGGAAUGGAGGGGAGACUGGAAUUCCUGGUGUAGCGGUGAAAUGCGCAGAUAUCGGGAGGAACACCGGUGGCGAAGGCGGUUCUCUGGGCCUUACCUGGACGCUGAGGAGCGAAAGCGUGGGGAGCGAACAGG
rnacentral:rRNA from 1 species